UUCGCCCUUAGAGUUUGAUCCUUGCUCAGGACGAACGCUGGCGGCGCGCCUAACACAUGCAAGUCGAACGAGAGAGAGGGAGCUUGCUUCCUCGAUCGAGUGGCGAACGGGUGAGUAACGCGUGAGGAACCUGCCUCAAAGAGGGGGACAACAGUUGGAAACGACUGCUAAUACCGCAUAAGCCCACGGCUCGGCAUCGAGCAGAGGGAAAAGGAGCAAUCCGCUUUGAGAUGGCCUCGCGUCCGAUUAGCUAGUUGGUGAGGUAAUGGCCCACCAAGGCGACGAUCGGUAGCCGGACUGAGAGGUUGAACGGCCACAUUGGGACUGAGACACGGCCCAGACUCCUACGGGAGGAGCAGUGGGGAAUAUUGCACAAUGGGGGAAACCCUGAUGCAGCGACGCCGCGUGGAGGAAGAAGGUCUUCGGAUUGUAAACUCCUGUUGUUGGGGAAGAUAAUGACGGUACCCAACAAGGAAGUGACGGCUAACUACGUGCCAGCAGCCGCGGUAAAACGUAGGUCACAAGCGUUGUCCGGAAUUACUGGGUGUAAAGGGAGCGCAGGCGGGUGGUCAAGUUGGAAGUGAAAUCCAUGGGCUCAACCCAUGAACUGCUUUCAAAACUGAUCGUCUUGAGUAGUGCAGAGGUAGGCGGAAUUCCCGGUGUAGCGGUGGAAUGCGUAGAUAUCGGGAGGAACACCAGUGGCGAAGGCGGCCUACUGGGCACCAACUGACGCUGAGGCUCGAAAGUGUGGGUAGCAAACAGGAUUAGAUACCCUGGUAGUCCACACCGUAAACGAUGAUUACUAGGUGUUGGAGGAUUGACCCCUUCAGUGCCGCAGUUAACACAAUAAGUAAUCCACCUGGGGAGUACGACCGCAAGGUUGAAACUCAAAGGAAUUGACGGGGGCCCGCACAAGCAGUGGAGUAUGUGGUUUAAUUCGACGCAACGCGAAGAACCUUACCAAGUCUUGACAUCCGUUGACGAUGCUGGAAACAGUAUUUCCCUUCGGGGCAGCGAGACAGGUGGUGCAUGGUUGUCGUCAGCUCGUGUCGUGAGAUGUUGGGUUAAGUCCCGCAACGAGCGCAACCCUUAUGGUCAGUUACUACGCAAGAGGACUCUGGCCAGACUGCCGUUGACAAAACGGAGGAAGGUGGGGAUGACGUCAAAUCAUCAUGCCCUUUAUGACUUGGGCUACACACGUACUACAAUGGCGUUAAACAAAGAGAAGCAAGACCGCGAGGUGGAGCAAAACUCAGAAACAACGUCCCAGUUCGGACUGCAGGCUGCAACUCGCCUGCACGAAGUCGGAAUUGCUAGUAAUCGCAGAUCAGCAUGCUGCGGUGAAUACGUUCCCGGGCCUUGCACUCACCGCCCGUCA
rnacentral:rRNA from 1 species